rnacentral:rRNA from 1 species
UGUGUGAUAGUACAUAUAGGGCGUCAAGAUAAGCCAUGCAUGUCUAAGUAUAAGCAAUUAUACCGUGAAACUGCGAAUGGCUCAUAAAUCAGUUAUCGUUUAUUUGAUAGUACCUUACUACUUGGAUAACCGUGGUAAUUCUAGAGCUAAUACAUGCUUAAAACCCCGACUUCGGAAGGGGUGUAUUUAUUAGAUAAAAAACCAACGCCCUUCGGGGCUUCUUGGUGAUUCAUGAUAACUUUUCGGAUCGCAUAGCCUUGCGCUGGCGACGGUUCAUUCAAAUUUCUGCCCUAUCAACUUUCGAUGGUAAGGUAUUGGCUUACCAUGGUUUCAACGGGUAACGGGGAAUUAGGGUUCGAUUCCGGAGAGGGAGCCUGAGAAACGGCUACCACAUCCAAGGAAGGCAGCAGGCGCGCAAAUUACCCAAUCCCGAUUCGGGGAGGUAGUGACAAUAAAUACUGAUACAGGGCUCUUUUGGGUCUUGUAAUUGGAAUGAGUACAAUUUAAACCUCUUAACGAGGAACAAUUGGAGGGCAAGUCUGGUGCCAGCAGCCGCGGUAAUUCCAGCUCCAAUAGCGUAUAUUAAAGUUGUUGCAGUUAAAAAGCUCGUAGUUGAAACUUGGGUCUGGCUGGCAGGUCCGCCUCACCGCGUGUACUUGUCCGGCCGGACCUUCCUUCUGGAGAACCUCAUGCCCUUCACUGGGCGUGUUGGGGACCAGGACUUUUACUUUGAAAAAAUUAGAGUGUUCAAAGCAGGCCUUUGCUCGAAUACGUUAGCAUGGAAUAAUAGAAUAGGACGUGCGGUUCUAUUUUGUUGGUUUCUAGGACCGCCGUAAUGAUUAAUAGGGACAGUCGGGGGCAUCAGUAUUCAAUUGUCAGAGGUGAAAUUCUUGGAUUUAUUGAAGACUAACUACUGCGAAAGCAUUUGCCAAGGAUGUUUUCAUUAAUCAGUGAACGAAAGUUAGGGGAUCGAAGACGAUCAGAUACCGUCGUAGUCUUAACCGUAAACUAUGCCGACUAGGGAUCGGGCGAUGUUCUUUUUUUUGACUCGCUCGGCACCUUACGAGAAAUCAAAG